UUCCGGGAAAAUAAAGGGCAGUCAUUGAAUUCUCUCAAGAAAUGCCUUUAUUUAAAAACAGUCUUAACACUGUAAUGCUAAACAUUUUUUGUGUGGUUUUACUAAAGCCCGAAACUGACGGUGAUUGUAGUGAAGAAGCGCCUGAACAACAGGUUCUUUGCACACAUCAACGGGCGACUCCAGAAUCCGCCACCCGGCACCGUGGUCGAUGUGGAAGUGACCCGGCCAGAAUGGUACGAUUUUUUCAUCGUAAGCCAGUCGGUGAGGUGUGGGACCGUUGCGCCAACACACUACAAUGUAAUUUAUGACAGCAGCGCCCUGAAGCCGGACCACAUGCAGCGGCUGACUUACAAGCUGUGCCACAUGUAUUACAACUGGCCGGGUGUGAUCCGUGUGCCGGCGCCCUGCCAGUACGCGCACAAGCUGGCCUUCCUGGUCGGGCAGAGCAUCCACCGGGAGCCCAACCUGGCCCUGGCCGAGAACCUGUACUACCUGUGAGGAAGAGAAGGAGGAGGAG